rnacentral:tRNA from 1 species
UCCCUGGUGGCCUAGUGGUUAAGUAUCCGGCAUUGCCAAUGCCAUGGCUUGAGUCACUGCUGUGGCACAGGUUUGAUCCCUGUCCUGGGGA